GAGGGUAUAGCUCAGUGGUAGAGUGCAUGCUUAGCAGGCACAAGGUUCUGGGUUCAAUUCCCAGUACCUCCA
rnacentral:tRNA from 1 species